rnacentral:rRNA from 1 species
UACGUAGGGUCCGAGCGUUGUCCGGAAUUAUUGGGCGUAAAGAGCUCGUAGGCGGUUUGUCACGUCGGGAGUGAAAACCAGGUGCUUAACACCUGGCCUGCUUUCGAUACGGGCAGACUUGAGGCAUUCAGGGGAGAACGGAAUUCCUGGUGUAGCGGUGAAAUGCGCAGAUAUCAGGAGGAACACCGGUGGCGAAGGCGGUUCUCUGGGAAUGUUCUGACGCUGAGGAGCGAAAGUGUGGGGAGCGAAC